AAGACCUAUUCAUUGUGUAACUUGUAUUUAACCUAGACCUAUUCAUCUUGGCAGGAAUAUUGACAAGGCCGACCUAGGCAUAAGGGUUAAAGGCAUGUAUAUAAAGGAAGUGACUUGAGGUCACAAGAUACACAUUCAGCGAAUAUCCUCUAUCUUCAUCAAGUAGCGAAUUGCCUUCUGUAAUCAGUGAAUUAUCUCAGUUAUAGCGAAUCAGUAUUAGAAGUCAGCAAACUUGAUUGGAAGAUCAACGAACAUAAUCUAGAGGUCAGCGAACUCCUUCUAGCUGUGAGCGAACUACUAGUCAGCAAUCUGCCCUUAUGUUCUGAUCUGCAAUCUUUAGCAAGAGAAGUAGAGUUACAGCCCAGAGAACCCUAUCAAGAUUGAGCGAACGUCUUGCAAGGCUGAGUGAGUAAACUUCAUACAAAGACAACGAACUCAAAUCUGGGCUGCCAAAUUGAGCUAUAGGGAUUUGAUUCUUCAAAUUGUUAUAUCUCAGAUAAGUUGUGCUUGUGCCCUAGAAGGCUAUAUUUUAAAUCUGCUCUGUGGUUAAUAUAAUACAAUCUGAGAUAGUUGUUGCUGGGUUUUUCACUUCAAAGAGGGAGGUUUUCCCAGGACUAGGGCUGAAAUAGUUUAGCGUGAAUGAUUGGGAAUGGAUUGUAUCAGAUAGUUCUACAACAACAUAACAGCUUGAAGUUUGAGGGCAUCAAUGAGGCCGUAACGAGAGUAUGAAGGCUUCAAAUAAAAUCUUAGAAUACAGG